rnacentral:SRP_RNA from 1 species
AUGGCCGGGCCCGGCGACUGGAGACCGUGAACUCCGCCAGGGCCGGAAGGCAGCAACGGUAACGGACCCUCUGGGGUGCCGGGUUCCGGCCAUCGA